rnacentral:tRNA from 1 species
GGACGGGUGGCCGAGUGGUUAAAGGCAGCAGACUGUAAAUCUGCCGGUCCUUGCGACCUACGUAGGUUCGAAUCCUACCCCGUCCACCA